UACAGAGGGUGCAAGCGUUAAUCGGAAUUACUGGGCGUAAAGGGUGCGUAGGCGGAUUGACAAGUUGGGCGUGAAAUCCCUGGGCUUAACCUGGGAACUGCGUUCAAGACUGUUAGUCUGGAGUAUGGUAGAGGGAAGUGGAAUUUCCGGUGUAGCGGUGAAAUGCGUAGAUAUCGGAAGGAACAUCAGUGGCGAAGGCGACUUCCUGGACCAAUACUGACGCUGAGGCACGAAAGCGUGGGGAGCAAACAGG
rnacentral:rRNA from 1 species